AGAUGCCGAUUUAAGUCUGUUUUCUCUUGAAAUAAUUUGAGGCAGUGAAGGCACUGCAUGAAAUGGAUUGUUUUUUUUCAUGCCGAUCCAGUUUUGACUUUGGUAUGAGGCUUGAAGAACAGAACCAGCCAGUUUUGGCCUAUGAUAGUCAGUCAUAUCAAGAGAGAUAAUCAUAGGGAAUGUAUGUCCUUGGAAAUGUUCCUUUAGUCAAACACUGAAAAAUUUUCCUACAGAAAGUACAGCACAGUGUCCUGGCUCCUGGAAAAUCCAGAAACAAACCUUCAUGGUCCAAGCCCAGGUCUUCAGAUUGUGCAGUAUUCAUCUAAGACAAUGAGUGUGUGCCUUUGGGUAAAUAUUCAAAGAGCAGAGAACUCUCUUCUCCCAGCAUGUCAGCUUUCAAGGACAAUAAGCUAUUCUUGCUCAUGAGAGCUGCUCGCAAGUUAGCAA